CAAGAUAUUAGUAGCUACCAUACCGAGGGGGAAAAAGAGGGAGUUAUCAACUUCUUGUUGUGUUGCCCAGAAGCCCGACAUCUUUGCUUUCAGCUGCUGUACUGUUUUGAAAUCUGUUUUGUAUGUGUAUGUGAGGAACUGAUCUGUAUGUGAGGAACUGAUUUGCCCCAUGGUUUUAAUGGAGAAAAUAAGCAAGGUGGUAGUCAACACUAUGCGAGGACUGAUAUUUUGUAACCUGCUGGGACCAGAAAUAGAUACCUCUCUGGAAGAUGGAGAAUCUACAGCUUCCUCAGAAAUAUAGUGCAAACACUCAGGAUAUGCUUUUUAAACUUUCUUCUUAGGUGACCGUCGAGAGGAUACAGCUGACACCUUUGAUUUUCCCUUCCCUUCAAGAAAGGUUGAUAAAGCAACGAAACGAAAGAAGCAAAAGUCUAAAGUCUGGCUUAGAGUCUGGAAAGUAAUUGCAAAAAUGCUGGAGGAAAAUGAGAAGUUCAGAAGUCGACUGUUGACUUGCAGUCAGUGUAAUGGAGAAGGCAGUGAUACGAACCAAAGUUCACAGAACGAGGCAACCUACCUGGACAGGGAGGAGUCCAUCUUUGGCUGGGUGUAGCAAGAAAAUAAAGGAAGAUUGAAUCUGACA
rnacentral:lncRNA from 1 species